rnacentral:lncRNA from 1 species
UAACAGGUCACGGAAAAAUGUUGCGAACGUUGGUUUGAAAAGCGUUACUUUCCAAGUAAAUAUCCUUUCAUAUGACUGACUGUGGAGAUUUACCCAAACCAGAGAUGAGAGGACUUGGAUUAAAGCAUGCCAAACGUGGCUUUAGCUUUGGUCUGGCACUGGCCAUAGGUGCAGCUCUGUCAUACAAGAUAUUUGUAGCUUCUGCAAGGAAAAGGGAUUUUGCAGAAUUUUACAAGAACUUCGAUCCAGAGGCAGCAGUAGAGCGGAUGGUUGAAGCAGGUGUCCUGCAGUCAGGGAAAUAUGCUGACAAGAAAAAGGGGACAUUCUGGUGACUUAUUCUCUCA